GGAACUUUUCUGAUUCAGUUCCUGACUUGUCCUUACAGAAGCGGUAGGCGUUGAGGACCUGGAAUCUGAGUGGUAAUGUGAAGCUGGGGUGGUGCCCUCUUUCUCAUGGAUUUCGUUGAGGCUGUGGAUAUAGAGAAGGCGCUCUCCUUAGGCCCAAAGACUUUUGAAAAUAAGUUAUUGUAGUUGGAUAGAUGGGCUCCAGAGGCCAGAUGCCAUUGAAGUGGGGUGCAUGCAAAGGACGUUUAGUUCAAGAUUGUGGGGCUGCC
rnacentral:lncRNA from 1 species